CAUUAAAAAAAACCGCUGCCCGCACACGAUCGCACGACCUCUCUCGCCCCUCCUCCUCCUCCUCCUGCGCCCUUCGCUGCCUCCCACAACCUCGGGCUGCCAUUAGCCGCACGAGCUGCCCCGUCGCGCCCGGAGCCGCCUCCCGCCUCCCGCAGCCGCCGCCGGUCGCCACGCCCGUCGCACCCGGGAGCUGCCCCGCCGGCUUUGGCACGGGUCACCGCGACCAUCGCCCCGGGAACCGCCGCCGGUCGCCGCGGCGCCCGUCGCCCCGGGAGCCCGCCCUGCCGGCCCUUCGCCGCCUCCCUUCGCCGCGUGUCGCUGCCGCCGGAGCUGUCCUUCUCUGCUUCCCGGCGGCCUUAAUGCAACCUAUAGGGAAUCGCGGACUUUGUGUGCCUGUACGAAUUUGCUGGAGAGCCACCAUGGGCGCUCUGGCGGCUCUGGUUGACACCACGUUCUUCACCUCUUCUCUGGCGAGGAAAACAUUGCACACACGGAUUGAGGAAUGAGGACCCGCCCAUAUCUUGCGAAAACAGUCUUGCAAUCAAGCUCUCUUCAUUUGAAGUUCACAAAUUGGCUGGUCCUUGAAAAGAAUGCAGAGAUGUACAGGUGUUCAACCUGAGGCGUCAUUAUUGCAACACUCAUAUGUGAUUUUGAGCCAAAGCAUGCCAAGGGCAUGCAAAUGAGUCGGAUAACUAAGGUCCAAGAGCUUGCUUAUCUUAUGUGGAUCAAUUCAUUUCUAUGACAUGAGCUCUGUAACCCAGAUGAUGCAGCUAGACUAAUGACGGCUAUUCACUGUGCUCAUGAUGCAAGAAAUGUUGCGAACAGUUCAGAUGCCCGUUCUCCGCCCAUGUGCAGAACAUACAUUAACAUCACAGUGAGUUAUCAUUGAUCGCCUACAAUGAUGCAGCCACUUCCUUGAGAUUAGACAUGGUAAAAUGUUCGUGCAUAUACCCUUCUCUUUUGAAAAUUUGAGUCAUGACAAUAUUUGUAUGAUUUUCUGUUGGACAACGCUGAUGAGAAGGGAAGCACUGAAAUAUUUGAAGGUUCGCUUCCUGGCUCAUUUUAAUUUAGUUGUAAUCCAAUGUGUACAUAAAAGAGGAAUCAAAGCAGAUUGUCUUCAUGAAGACACUUCAUCGGAUAUGGGACAUCAUUCAGGACUUCAGAUGUCAGUUCUUGCUUCCAGAUUAUCUGAGUAAUGGUCAUUUCGUCCAAGGAUACCGUGCAUCUCUAAUCCAGCAUAAGGAGGAGCUGUAGGAUGUCAUUGCUAAAGCCGAGGCCAAAUCUGCGACUUCCUGGUGUGACACAUAUCUGCUCAAGGCUCUCUGUACACAAGUCGAGCCUACGCCAGAUGACCCUCAAUGGCAAACAUGGCCUUAAAGCACAAGAAAUACCCACGGACGUGAGUGCGGUCUGCGGCCCCGCCUGCCACUCCUCUGCUCAGCCACCAUCGCCGCCACGUUGAGGCCCUCACCAGCAAGCAGUAUGCUUUCUCGUGAGCUAGCUUCUUCAAUGCAUGCUUCUCUGAAUUUCUACAAGCUAAAUUGGAGGAUCAACAGCUAACGGCAAAUGCACCAGCGAGCCCCGAGUGCGGUGGCCCGUGCAACAUGAAGAAGACCAUUCAGACAAUGGGGAGUGACGAAGACUUGCCUGAAUGUUGCUUUCCUCCGCGUGGAGUGCUUAGAAUUCUCAAAGGCAUCAAUAAGUCCCGGAGGAGAUUGACAAGGAAUUCUUGUUGGAAAGAGCGAAGGCAUGGUUUGCAUGACAUUAUCCUCAAUGGGCUGGAGAUAGCGGGGAUAAUUGUUAUUGAUGGCAAAUAUAAAAAUGUUGAUACUUGAUUUUCUCGCCCAACAUCUUCACUUCUGUGAACGAGAUUUGAUUUUCUCAUAGUAAUAGUUCUUUAUUUUUGUUGAUACAUAAAUGGUUCUUUACUGAACAGUAAUUGUAUGUGCGUAUGGAGAAUGGUGACGAACCUUUAAAAUAAUCCAUUGUCCAACAAGGGGAUUCUAAUUUCUGAUUAGAUUA